rnacentral:rRNA from 1 species
UAUCCCGCAAGGGAGUGGGGUCGAGGUGCUGCAUGGCUGUCGUCAGCUCGUGUCGUGAGAUGUUGGGUUAAGUCCCGCAACGAGCGCAACCCUUGUCCUGUGUUGCCAAUCCGCAAGGAAGCACUCUCAGGAGACCGCCAGCGAUAAGUUGGAGGAAGGUGGGGAUGACGUCAAGUCAUCAUGGCCUUUAUGUCCAGGGCUACACACGUGCUACAAUGGGCGGUACAAACCGACGCCAACCCGCGAGGGGGAGCAAAUCGGAAAAAACCGUUCUCAGUUCGGAUUGCAGGCUGCAACCCGCCUGCAUGAAGCUGGAAUCGCUAGUAAUGGUAUAUCAGAACGAUACCGUGAAUACGUUCCCGGGCCUUGUACACACCGCCCGUCACAUCACGAAAGUGGGUUGUACUAGAAGUCUACAGGCUAACCCGCAAGGGGAGCAGUGGCCCAAGGUAUGACUCAUGAUUGGGGUGAAGUCGUAACAAGGUAGCCGUAGGAGAACC